UACGGGGGGAGCAAGCGUUGUUCGGAUUUACUGGGCGUAAAGGGCGCGUAGGCGGCCAGCACAAGUCAGUUGUGAAAUCUCCGAGCUUAACUCGGAACGGUCAACUGAUACUGUGCGGCUAGAGUGCGGAAGGGGCAACUGGAAUUCUUGGUGUAGCGGUGAAAUGCGUAGAUAUCAAGAGGAACACCGGUGGCGAAGGCGGAUCUCUGGGCCUUACCUGACGCUGAGGCGCGAAAGCUAGGGGAGCAAACAGG
rnacentral:rRNA from 1 species